UACAGAGGUCCCAAGCGUUGUUCGGAUUCACUGGGCGUAAAGGGUGCGUAGGUGGCCAGGUAAGUUUGGUGUGAAAGCUCGGAGCUUAACUCCGAAAAGUCAUUGAAUACUAUCUGGCUGGAGGGUCGGAGGGGAGACUGGAAUUCUCGGUGUAGCAGUGAAAUGCGUAGAUAUCGAGAGGAACACCAGUGGCGAAGGCGAGUCUCUGGACGACUCCUGACACUGAGGCACGAAAGCCGGGGGAGCGAACAGG
rnacentral:rRNA from 1 species